rnacentral:rRNA from 1 species
UUGAUCCUGGCUCAGAAUCAACGCUGGCGGCGUGCCUAACACAUGCAAGUCGAACGCGAAAGCCCCGCAAGGGGUAAGUAGAGUGGCGAACGGGUGAGUUACACGUGGGUGACCUGCCUUCGAGCGGGGGAUAACGUCCCGAAAGGGACUCUAAUACCGCAUGACAUCCUGCCUUUGAAGAGGUGGAGAUCAAAGCUGGUGAUCGCAAGACCUAGCACUCGAAGAGGGGCCCGCGCCUGAUUAGCUAGUUGGUGGGGUAAUGGCUCACCAAGGCAACGAUCAGUAGCCGGCCUGAGAGGUCGGACGGCCACACUGGGACUGAGACACGGCCCAGACUCCUACGGGAGGCUGCAGUGGGGAAUUGUUCGCAAUGGGCGCAAGCCUGACGACGCAACGCCGUGUGGAGGACGAAGACCUUCGGGUCGUAAACUCCUUUCGAUCGAGACGAAUGGCCUCCGGGUGAACAAUCCGGAGGAAUGACGGUACCGAGAGAAGAAGCUCCGGCUAACUCCGUGCCAGCAACCGCGGUAAUAAGGU